CGUGCAAGUCGAGGGGUAACAGAGAAUAUCUUGCUUUUUUGCUGACGACCGGCGCACGGCUGCGUAACGCGUAUGCGAUCUACCUUUUGCUAACGGAUAGCCCAGAGAAAUUUGGAUUAGUACCUUAUAGUAUUAUGACUUGGCAUCAAGAUAUCAUUAAGAGGUUACGGCUAAGCAUGAGCGUGCGUGUCUAGCAGCUAGUUGGUGUGGUAGCGGCAUACCAAGGCAACGAUAGAUACUGGGUUCUGAUAGGCAUAUCCGCCCACAGUGGUACUGAGACCGGAACCAGACUCCAACGGGAGGCAGCAGUGAGGAAUAUUGGACAAUGGAGGCAACUCUGAUCCAGCCAUGCCGCGUGCAGGAAGACUGCCCUAUGGGUUGUAAACUGCUUUUAUACAGGAAGAAAUACCUCUACGUGUAGAGAUUUGACGGUACUGUAAGAAUAAGGAUCGGCUAACUCCGUGCCAGCAGCCGCGGUAAUACGGAGGAUCCAAGCGUUAUCCGGAAUCAUUGGGUUUAAAGGGUCCGUAGGUGGGCAAUUAA
rnacentral:rRNA from 1 species